GAUGAACGCUGGCGGCGUGCCUAAUACAUGCAAGUCGAGCGAACAGAUGAGGAGCUUGCUCCUCUGACGUUAGCGGCGGACGGGUGAGUAACACGUGGAUAACCUACCUAUAAGACUGGGAUAACUUCGGGAAACCGGAGCUAAUACCGGAUAAUAUAUUGAACCGCAUGGUUCAAUAGUGAAAGACGGUUUUGCUGUCACUUAUAGAUGGAUCCGCGCCGCAUUAGCUAGUUGGUAAGGUAACGGCUUACCAAGGCGACGAUGCGUAGCCGACCUGAGAGGGUGAUCGGCCACACUGGAACUGAGACACGGUCCAGACUCCUACGGGAGGCAGCAGUAGGGAAUCUUCCGCAAUGGGCGAAAGCCUGACGGAGCAACGCCGCGUGAGUGAUGAAGGUCUUCGGAUCGUAAAACUCUGUUAUAGGGAAGAACAAAUGUGUAAGUAACUAUGCACGUCUUGACGGUACCUAAUCAGAAAGCCACGGCUAACUACGUG
rnacentral:rRNA from 1 species